GACGAACGCUGGCGGCGUGCUUAACACAUGCAAGUCGAACGGAAAGGCUCCGGCUUGCUGGAGAACUCGAGUCGCGCACGGGUGUGUAACCCGUGGGUGAUCUGCCCUGCACUUCGGGAUAUGCCUGGGCAGCUGGGUAUAAUACAGGCUAGGACAGCACUAAAGUGUGUGUGGUGGAAAGGUCUUUCUGGUGUGGGAUGAGUUGGCGGCCUAUCAGGUUGUUGGGGGGGUAAUGGCCUACCAAGACGGCGACGUGUAGCCGGACUGAGAGGGUGGACGGUGACACUGGGACUGAGAUACGGCCCAGGCGCCUACUGGUGGCAGCAGUGGGGAAUAUUGCACAAUGGGGGAAACCCGGAUGCAGCGGCGCCGCGUGGGGGAUGAAGGCCUUCGGGUGGUAAACGCCUAUCGCUAGGGACGAAGCUUUUUGUGACGGUACCUGGAGAAGAAGCACCGGCUAACUACGUG
rnacentral:rRNA from 1 species